rnacentral:rRNA from 2 species
GUGGUUAAGGCUCCCAGUAGACGACUGGGUUGAUAGGCCAGAUGUGGAAGCCCGGUAACGGGUGGAGCUGACUGGUACUAAUAGGCCGAGGGCUUGUCCUCAGUUG